GGAUUAGAUACCCUAGUAUACUUCAUUAUAAAAAAUUAGUAAAUUAAUGAAAAUUAAUAAUUUUGGCGGUUAAUCACAUUGUUAGAGGAGCUUGUUUGAGUUAAGAUUUCACUCUUUAUAUUUCAAUAUUAAUUAAGCCUAUUCAUCUCUGUUAUUAAUUGAAAAAUUAAGUUAAAUCUUUUUUUUAUCUCAGGUCAAGAUGUAGCUAUAAAAUAUAAAAAAUUAGCUACAAUUAUAAAAUAAUAUAUUUAUAUAUUUGAAAUUAAUUAUUUAUAUAUUGAAUUUAGUUGUAAUAAUAAUUAGAAUUUUAUUGUGAUUUUAUGUAAUUAAUGUAUAUAUUGCCCGUCACUUCUAAAUAGAUAGAAUAAGUCGUAACAAAGUA
rnacentral:rRNA from 1 species